rnacentral:tRNA from 2 species
GUCCAGCUAGCUCAGUCGGUAGAGCAUGAGACUCUUAAUCUCAGGGUUGUGUGUUUGAGCUCCAUGUUGGAUG